GAUGAACGCUAGCGGCAGGCCUAAUACAUGCAAGUCGGACGGGAUUCCGGUGCUUGCUUCGGAUGAUAGUGGCGCACGGGUGCGUAACACGUAUGUAACCUACCUUUAUCAGGGUGAUAGCCUCUCGAAAGAGAGAUUAAGCUCGCAUAAAAUCACAGCACAGCCUUGUGUAAUGAUCAAAUAUUUAUAGGGUAAAGAUUGGCAUGCGGGACAUUGGCUAGAUGGCGGGGUAACUGGCCACCAUGGCGACGAUGUUUAGGGGAUCGGAGGGGAUGGCCCCUCAGACGGGUACUGGGACACGGACCAGACUCAUACGGGAGAGAGUCGUAAGGGAGAUUGGAGAGUGGGAGGAAGCCUGAUCCAGCCAUGCCGCAUGCAGGAAGGCCGCGCUCGGGAUGGUAACCUGCUUUUAGAAGAGAAUAAUCCCAGAUACGUGUAUCUGGCUGAAUGUACUGUAAGAAUAAGGAUCGGCUAACUCCGUG
rnacentral:rRNA from 1 species